rnacentral:rRNA from 1 species
UGGGGAAUAUUGGACAAUGGGCGAAAGCCUGAUCCAGCAAUGCCGCGUGUGUGAAGAAGGCCUUCGGGUUGUAAAGCACUUUCAGUGGGGAAGAAAUGCUCAGUGUUAAUAGCACUGAGAGCUGACAUUACCCACAGAAGAAGCACCGGCUAACUCUGUGCCAGCAGCCGCGGUAAUACAGAGGGUGCUAGCGUUAAUCGGAAUUACUGGGCGUAAAGCGCGCGUAGGCGGAUGUUUUAGUCGGGUGUGAAAUCCCUGGGCUCAACCUAGGAAUUGCAUUCGAAACUGGACAUCUGGAGUAUGGUAGAGGAAAGUGGAAUUCCCGGUGUAGCGGUGAAAUGCGUAGAUAUCGGGAAGAACAUCAGUGGCGAAGGCGGCUUUCUGGACCAAUACUGACGCUGAGGUGCGAAAGCGUGGGGAGCAAACAGG